rnacentral:rRNA from 1 species
AACGAACGCUGGCGGCGUGCCUAACACAUGCAAGUCGAACGAGAAACCCUGGCUUCGGUUGGGGGAGUACAGUGGCGCACGGGUGAGUAACGCGUGAGUAACCUACCCCGCUUGUCUGGAAUAACGUUGGGAAACUGGCGCUAAUACCGGAUGAAAUCCUGGGCCGCGAGGCUACGGGAUCAAAGGAGGCCUCUCCAUGGAAGCUUCCGCAAGGGGAUGGGCUCGCGUCCCAUUAGCUAGUUGGCAGGGUAAUGGCCUACCAAGGCGACGAUGGGUAGCCGGCCUGAGAGGGUGUCCGGCCACACUGGAACUGAAACACGGUCCAGACUCCUACGGGAGGCAGCAGUGAGGAAUUUUGCGCAAUGGGCGAAAGCCUGACGCAGCGACGCCGCGUGGGCGAUGAAGCUUCUUGGAGUGUAAAGCCCUGUCAGGUGGGACGAAUCCGCGGGGUGUGAACAAUGCCCCGCGCUGACGGUACCACCAGAGGAAGCCCCGGCUAACUCCGUGCCAGCAGCCGCGGUAAUACGGAGGGGGCAAGCGUUGUUCGGAAUCACUGGGUGUAAAGGGUGCGUAGGCGGUCCGCCAAGUCUGAUGUGAAAGCCCUGGGCUCAACUCAGGAAUUGCAUUGGAAACUGGCGGACU